rnacentral:rRNA from 1 species
UGGAGCAUGUGGUUUAAUUCGAAGCAACGCGAAGAACCUUACCAGGUCUUGACAUCCCCUGACAACCGAGAGAUCGGGCGUUCCCCCUUCGGGGGACAGGGUGACAGGUGGUGCAUGGUUGUCGUCAGCUCGUGUCGUGAGAUGUUGGGUUAAGUCCCGCAACGAGCGCAACCCUCGACCUUAGUUGCCAGCAUUCAGUUGGGCACUCUAAGGUGACUGCCGGCUAAAAGUCGGAGGAAGGUGGGGAUGACGUCAAAUCAUCAUGCCCCUUAUGACCUGGGCUACACACGUGCUACAAUGGGCGGUACAAAGGGUCGCGAACCCGCGAGGGGGAGCCAAUCCCAAAAAGCCGCUCUCAGUUCGGAUUGCAGGCUGCAACUCGCCUGCAUGAAGCCGGAAUCGCUAGUAAUCGCGGAUCAGCACGCCGCGGUGAAUACGUUCCCGGGCCUU